GCUCAAUUUGUAAUCUGGCGUCUUCGACGUCCGAGUUGUAAUCUCGAGAAGAGGUUUCCGAGAUACACCCCAUACAAGUCUCUUGGAACAGGACGUCAUAGUGGGGGAAACCCCCUACUGCAUGUCGGAUGCCUGCUACUUUGUGAUACACUUUCACAGAGUCGAGUUGUUUGGAAAUGCACUUCAAAUGGGGUGGAAAAUUCCAUCUAAAGCUAAUAAUGGGCAAAAAACCGAUACCCAACAAUUACCGGGAGGGAAAAAUGAAAACCCCUUUGAAAAAAAAUUUAAAAGCACGUGAAAUUGUUGAAAGGGAAAGGAUUGCAACGAUACUUGCUCUUCGGGGUCCCUCGGUCGUCUGGCCCGCCUACUCUUUUCGGUGCGGAAAAUCAUAGACUGAAGGCACCGGUUACGACUGUGUGAAUGCUCUUUCCUGGAUUCUGCCUGGGGGACUGGUGAACCCACCAGGCUUUUACCAGGACCUUCCUUCUAUCCACGCUCAGGAUGAAGGU
rnacentral:rRNA from 1 species